GGAUGUAGCUCAGCUUGGUAGAGUGCUUGAUUUGGGAUCAAGAUGUCACAGGUUCGAAUCCUGCCAUCC
rnacentral:tRNA from 1 species